rnacentral:lncRNA from 1 species
AAAUUUUGAAUUUUAAAAUUUAAAUUUGAGAUUUGAAAUUUUAAUUUAAAUUUAAAAUUUAAAAUCUAAAUUUUAAAUUUAAAAUUUGAAAAGUUGAAAUUUAAAAAUUUAAAUAUGAAUUUAAAAUUUAGAAAUUAGAAUUAAAUUUAAAUUUAAAGUUUGAAUUUAAAAAUAAAAUAAAAAUUUGAAGUUUAAGUUUAAAAUCAGAAUCAAAUUCGAAAGAGCAAAUUUUUUUUUUUGCUUCUGAUUCUGAGGCAUUCAAAAUUAGUUUUCUGAUUCUAAAAAGCAGAAUUUGAUUUUGCAACAUUUGUUGCAAUUUUUUUUUUUUUUUGUUUCUGAUCCUGAGGCCUUCAAAAUAAUGAUUUUCUAAAACUAUUUGACUUUAGCUCAGAAUACUUUUCAGAAGCAAGGCCAAACAACCCGCCAAACAACCCCCUAUGCCCGUGGGGGAGUAGAUUUUGGUAUUAUCUAAGAUCAUUAUACCAAUAUGAUGGUUUGAUUUGGUAUAUUUGGAAUGUUCAUUU